AGAGUUUGAUCAUGGCUCAGAUUGAACGCUGGCGGCAUGCCUUACACAUGCAAGUCGAACGGCAGCACGGGGGCAACCCUGGUGGCGAGUGGCGAACGGGUGAGUAAUACAUCGGAACGUGUCCUGUAGUGGGGGAUGGCCCGGCGAAAGCCGGAUUAAUACCGCAUACGCUCUACGGAGGAAAGGGGGGGAUCUUAGGACCUCCCGCUACAGGGGCGGCCGAUGGCAGAUUAGCUAGUUGGUGGGGUAAAGGCCUACCAAGGCGACGAUCUGUAGCUGGUCUGAGAGGACGACCAGCCACACUGGGACUGAGACACGGCCCAGACUCCUACGGGAGGCAGCAGUGGGGAAUUUUGGACAAUGGGGGCAACCCUGAUCCAGCAAUGCCGCGUGUGUGAAGAAGGCCUUCGGGUUGUAAAGCACUUUUGUCCGGAAAGAAAACGCCGUGGUUAAUACCCGUGGCGGAUGACGGUACCGGAAGAAUAAGCACCGGCUAACUACGUGCCAGCAGCCGCGGUAAUACGUAGGUGCAAGCGUUAAUCGGAAUUACUGGGCGUAAAGCGUGCGCAGCGGUCCGCUAGACAGAUGUGAAAUCCCCGGGCUUACCUGGGAACUGCAUUUGUGACUGGCGGGCUAGAGUAUGGCAGAGGGGGUAGAAUU
rnacentral:rRNA from 1 species